GCCCUCGUAGCUCAGUAGGAUAGAGCGGCCGCCUCCUAAGCGGCAGGUCACAGGUUCGAAUCCUGUCGAGGGCGCCA
rnacentral:tRNA from 1 species